rnacentral:rRNA from 1 species
UACGUAGGGUGCGAGCGUUGUCCGGAAUUAUUGGGCGUAAAGAGCUCGUAGGCGGUUUGUCGCGUCGGCCGUGAAAACUUGGGGCUUAACCCCGAGCCUGCGGUCGAUACGUGCAGACUUGAGUUCGGCAGGGGAGACUGGAAUUCCUGGUGUAGCGGUGAAAUGCGCAGAUAUCAGGAGGAACACCGGUGGCGAAGGCGGGUCUCUGGGCCGAUACUGACGCUGAGGAGCGAAAGCGUGGGGAGCGAACAGG